CGCCUUGCCAGCCCGCUCAGAACUUAAAGGAAUUGACGGGGCCCGGCACAAGACGGAGGAGCAUGUGGUUUAAUUCGAUGAUACGCGAGGAACCUUACCUGGGCUCGAACGUAAGAUGACUGUAGGUGAAAGCUUACAUCUCUUCGGAGCAUUUUACGAGGUGCUGCAUGGUUGUCGUCAGCUCGUGCCGUGAGGUGUCGGGUUAAGUCCCGUAACGAGCGCAACCCCUACCUUUAGUUGCCAUCAGGUUAAGCUGGGGACUCUAAAGGAACUGCCUACGCAAGUAGUGAGGAAGGCGGGGAUGACGUCAAAUCAGCACGGCCCUUACGUCCAGGGCUACACACGUGCUACAAUGGCCGAUACAGAGGGCAGCUACCUGGUGACAGGAUGCAAAUCUCCAAAGUCGGUCUCAGUUCGGAUCGGAGUCUGCAACCCGACUCCGUGAAGUUGGAUUCGCUAGUAAUCGCGCAUCAGCCAUGGCGCGGUGAAUACGUUCCCGGGCCUU
rnacentral:rRNA from 1 species